UACGGAGGGAGCUAGCGUUGUUCGGAAUUACUGGGCGUAAAGCGCGCGUAGGCGGCUUUGUAAGUUAGAGGUGAAAGCCCGGGGCUCAACCCCGGAAUUGCCUUUAAGACUGCAUCGCUUGAAUCCGGGAGAGGUGAGUGGAAUUCCGAGUGGAGCGGUGAAAUGCGUAGAGAUCGGAAAGAACACCAACGGCGAAAGCACUCUGCUGGGCCGACACUGACACUGAGAGACGAAAGCUAGGGGGAGCGAAUGGG
rnacentral:rRNA from 1 species